GAAUCAUUGGCGGGAGAAAACCUCAUCGCCGGAAAUCCAAGCAUCGCCUCUAGCAUCCUCCUCGCCGGUGCCGGCACGAUCCCCUUCUCGAGACGUAGCAACGGUGACGUUCUCUGAGAUUCGGACUUCCGAUGAGCCGAUCAUAGAUCGGCGACCUCCCAGCGAUGUGGAGCUUGGAUGAUUCCUUUUCUAGGAAUCGAUGCCAUAUGCGAGCAGAAAUCCGCAGCGAAGGAAAGGGGCCAGAAAAGCUUGGGGUUUCGCUGUGGAUAAGUACUACGAGUGCUUGCAGAAGCUGAAUGAUGAGCCAAGGGAGGAGGCAACUUGCGCUGAUAUUUCUGUUCUCCUGAUGAUCAUGGCCGGCACUGGAAGCUAAAAAGAUUUCAUUGGCUAUGUCCAAGCCCUCAUUUCUUUAAUUAGGGUAUCAUCCCUGCCAACAUCCUGGCCCUGAAUUUUACAAUUGCUGCAGCGGAUAGGAUUGGGUUGGUGAGAGUGAAAGUGAUGGCAAAGAAGCUGUCCAUCAGCACCUUCCACUCGUUCUGUUUGCAUCUUUGUCGUUGACACACAAGAAAGAAAGGUCUAGCUCAGUGGUCUUCUCUUCUACAGCAAAUAUGUUGCUCAUAUCACAUAUGCAAUCAAUCUAUAUUGUAUGAAUAAAGGUAUUUAUUUGUUAUUUGCUACUUAAAUAUUUCAAUAGUUUAAAUACUUGUAUCUGAAAUGGACAGAGUUCCAGCCUUGUGAAAUGGCUAUUCAGCAAUAAUUCUCAGUAUUGUGGCAUUAUUAUAGAGGUGGAGAGGUCCCCAGCUUUGCUCAAAUUGUUUGCAUUCAGCAUUUUUAACCUUAAACGCACAUAUGCUUUAAGUGAACCCCGAUGUGCUUAUACCUGCAUCCUAAGCAUGGUAGUUUAAGUAUCCUUUCAUGUUUGCCAUUUUUUCCCUACAAGGAUAAUGGUGACUUACUACUCUAAUCAAAUGGUGAUGCUUAUGAAUGGUGAAUCUGCCCAUAUUAGUGUUUUUAGAAAUGACAUCCAUUCAUUUUCUUUUCUUGUGUCUGAUAGAAGAGCUGCUUAUCAUUUGCAUAAAUAUCUUCUUGAACAACAUGUUGUAGUUGAUGUGGAAGCGGAGAAGCUACUAAAUAAAGACAAUGAUCUAAGGUAAAUUGUUUUUGACAUUCCUUUAUUGCAUGAGGUAAACGGGAUGGAAGGUGGGUUAACGCUUAACUCUGAAGGUUCAAAUUGGAGGAGCAAACUGUUGUAACUCAUUUGUUUCUUCACAUGGCAAAAAGAAUAAGCAGUUCAACAUCAGAAACGCUGCUUGAUAAGAAACAACAAACUGAAAUCUAAAUGGGAUAAAGGAAGCUUCUCCGAAGCAGGCUUUUGGUUAAGGCAAGUCUUCCCAAAGAGAUCUUAUUAUUAAAGCAGCAUAUUCUCCCCAACGGACGGGGUGGUGCAGUGGAAGCAAACUUUAAACUUUAAAGGCAUCAGCUGCUGUCCACUAAAAAAAACAUCUCAAAAAAACAUCUCAACUGUUAUUUGUAAAUAUUGUAAUAUUGUAAAAGGGCAUAAAUAUAAACAAAAGGCCUUGUCUAACUCCUAAGGUGAGCGCAUCCGCACUCCGCACACUCUUGUUAAGAACAAAAAAAAUUGUACACACGUAAGAGGCCUUGCCUUAUUUGUUAAAAUGGAACCUCAAUUGACCCUAAUUUAAAAUAUUAGUGCCAUUGUUGGCUUGUCAUUUGGCUGAUAGUUCGCCAUCAUUAUUAUUCUAAUGCAGUUAGUGGACGUCAUUGGGCCGGUGCUGGGCCUAGAUUGGGCCUUCAACGGGUCUCACUACACUAUUAAUUUGGCCAUAAUGAUGCGAUAUUUUUCCAAUUGGGCUGUUUUUGGGCCUCUAUUGGGCCGCAAUGGGCUGUCAUAGCUUGUCAAUUGAGCCUUAACUG